AUACAUCCAGUAGAAUCUUUCAACGGUUUUAACGUCAUUAACGCUCAGUAAGAGCUGGUUAAAGUCUUCUCGCUGCUUGUAAAGAUGGCUCUAAUCAAAUGUAUUAAAUUGUGGAGAGCAGCUGGUGUUUUCAGUUACCUGCAGUAGCUGAAUCUUCCAGCAGAUGGCAGCUGGUCACUGUUGAGAAUUGUUGAAUGUCCUCUUUAAAAGCUCUGCCGACCUUUCUGACGUCGUCUCCAACAUGAUGUUAUGAGCUGCUUCUCACAUUGAAAAACUGACAAGCCAUUUUCCAGCUCAGAUCCAAACCAAACAAGGCCAUUGCAUAAGGACCCAUUGAAGAGUUUGACACACGCACAGAGGAAAAGAGAUGAUGUGACCGCAUGAGGAGCUCUGAUAAUCCGCCCACUGCCACAGCAAUGAACUAAUCCACCUCCUCUCCUGAUUGGCUGACAGCCCGUUGUUUUGAUUGGGAUUUCAACAUGCUAAUUGGCCGCGCAAAGUUGGCGUAAGUGGGUGAUGAAGAGGCUGAGGGGUGCUUGGGUUUGGACAGCUGUUGAAGAAGAAGAGGAGGGUGAAGGAAAGAAAGACGGAGAUAAAGGAGUGCACGUGGGCCGAGACAAAAGCGCAUGUCAGACUCUCUGCAGCCUGUUGACUGAGAUAAGCAUAGCUGCAACUUGAGGAGGCGGCGAUUCUCCGCCUACGGGACCUCAGCGCCGCCGCCAUUUGGGACGGCUUUUCUGCAGAUGUAUGAUGCACGUAUAUGUGUGUUUGUUCAAUUACGGACAUUUUUAGAGUUCCAGGGGUUGAUUUUUAUUAAAACAAACAGAGUUGGUUAUAUGAAGGACACAUUAACACAGUCAUGGAAACUUAUUUUUGCUGUUUUAUGGUUUUCUCUUGUCCUAGAC